rnacentral:rRNA from 1 species
GACGAACGCUGGCGGCGUGCUUAACACAUGCGAGUCGAACGGUAAGGCCCUUUCGGGGGUCCACGAGUGGCGAACGGGUGAGUAACACGUGGGUGAUCUGCCCUGCACUUUGGGAUAAGCCUGGGAAACUGGGUCUAAUACCGGAUAGGACUACGCGAUGCAUGUCGUGUGGUGGAAAGCUUUUGCGGUGUGGGAUGGGCCCGCGGCCUAUCAGCUUGUUGGUGGGGUGAUGGCCUACCAAGGCGACGACGGGUAGCCGGCCUGAGAGGGUGUCCGGCCACACUGGGACUGAGAUACGGCCCAGACUCCUACGGGAGGCAGCAGUGGGGAAUAUUGCACAAUGGGCGCAAGCCUGAUGCAGCGACGCCGCGUGGGGGAUGACGGCCUUCGGGUUGUAAACCCCUUUCAGCACAGACGAAGCGUAAGUGACGGUAUGUGCAGAAGAAGCACCGGCCAACUACGUG